AGAGUUGAUCCUGGCUCAGGAUGAACGCUAGCUACAGGCUUAACACAUGCAAGUCGAGGGGCAUCAGGGUCUGUGCUUGCACAGAUGCUGGCGACCGGCGCACGGGUGAGUAACGCGUAUCCAACCUUCCCCUUAGUAGAGGAUAGCCCGGCGAAAGUCGGAUUAAUACUCUAUGUUGUUCAAUGCGGACAUCUAAGUUGAACCAAAGGUUUACCGCUAAGGGAUGGGGAUGCGUCUGAUUAGGUAGUAGGCGGGGUAACGGCCCACCUAGCCAACGAUCAGUAGGGGUUCUGAGAGGAAGGUCCCCCACAUUGGAACUGAGACACGGUCCAAACUCCUACGGGAGGCAGCAGUGAGGAAUAUUGGUCAAUGGGCGCGAGCCUGAACCAGCCAAGUAGCGUGCAGGAAUGACGGCCCUAUGGGUUGUAAACUGCUUUUAUGCGGGGAUAAAGUGCACCACGUGUGGUGUUUUGUAGGUAUCGCAUGAAUAAGGACCGGCUAAUUCCGUGCCAGCAGCUGC
rnacentral:rRNA from 1 species